rnacentral:piRNA from 1 species
UCAUAUUGAUGUUCUUCUAUUGAGCUGU